ensembl:vault_RNA Vault Vault RNA
GCGCUGGUUUAGCUCAGUGGUUACUUCCUACAAAUAAUCUGUUCGAUUUCCUGUACCAUCCCAUCCCGGGAUCGAACCACGGGCGCUGUCCAGCGUUUUU